rnacentral:misc_RNA from 1 species
AAGUCGUAACAAGGUUUCCGUAGGUGAACCUGCGGAAGGAUCAUUAACACGUGAUACUCACGUAUUAGCCCAACGCGAACUGUUAUCUGUCCCGUGAUCGAAUAUUUGCAGUGGCAAGAGAAGAAUGGUGUGAGCCGCGUUCUGCGCGGUUCUGUCUCACUUGUCUAGGCGUCCGACGCCAAGCUCGUACCGAUCAUGGUAGAUGAACUCCGUUAGCCCAUCCCGCACCUUGGACGGCUUUCCUGAGUGACCCCCUAACCAUAUUAUUAUGACUAAUCUGUAUGUCUAUGUGAAUUCCUGACUUCGGUCGGUCGAGUUCGUAUAGAUGUCGUAUAUUACAAAUACGAAACAACUCUUAGCAACGGAUAUCUUGGUUCUCGUAACGAUGAAGAACGUAGC